rnacentral:rRNA from 1 species
CGUAGGGUGCGAGCGUUAAUCGGAAUUACUGGGCGUAAAGCGUGCGCAGGCGGUAAUGCAAGACAGAUGCGAAAUCCCCGGGCUUAACCUGGGAACUGCAUUUGUGACUGCAUUGCUGGAGUGCGGCAGAGGGGGAUGGAAUUCCGCGUGUAGCAGUGAAAUGCGUAGAUAUGCGGAGGAACACCGAUGGCGAAGGCAAUCCCCUGGGCCUGCACUGACGCUCAUGCACGAAAGCGUGGGGAGCAAACAGGAUUAGAUACCCUGGUAGUCCACGCCCUAAACGAUGUCAACUGGUUGUUGGGUCUUAACUGACUCAGUAACGAAGCUAACGCGUGAAGUUGACCGCCUGGGGAGUACGGCCGCAAGGUUG